rnacentral:rRNA from 1 species
UACGUAGGGUGCGAGCGUUGUCCGGAAUUAUUGGGCGUAAAGAGCUCGUAGGCGGUCUGUCGCGUCUGCUGUGAAAACCCCGAGGCUCAACCUCGGGCCUGCAGUGGGUACGGGCAGACUAGAGUGCGGUAGGGGAGAUUGGAAUUCCUGGUGUAGCGGUGGAAUGCGCAGAUAUCAGGAGGAACACCCGUGGCGAAAGCGGCUCUCUGGGACGGUACUGACGCUGAGACGCGAAAGCGUGGGGAGCAAACAGG